AGCGAACGCUGGCGGCAGGCCUAACACAUGCAAGUCGAACGAACCUUUCGGGGUUAGUGGCGGACGGGUGAGUAACACGUGGGAACGUGCCUUUAGGUUCGGAAUAACUCAGGGAAACUUGUUCUAAUACCGAAUGGGCCCUUCGGGGGAAAGAUUAAUCGCCUUUAGAGCGGCCCGCGUCUGAUUAGCUAGUUGGUUGAGGUAAUGGCUCACCAAGGCGACGAGCAGUAGCUGGUCGGAGAGGAUGAUCAGCCACAUUGGGACUGAGACACGGCCCAAAAUCCUACGGGAGGCAGCAGUGGGGAAUCUUGCGGAAUGGGCGAAAGGCUGACGCAGCCAUGGCGCGUGAAUGAUGAAGGUCUUAGGAUUGUAAAAUUCUUUCACCGGGGACGAUAAUGACGGUACCCGGAGAAGAAGCCCCGGCUAACUUCGUG
rnacentral:rRNA from 1 species